rnacentral:lncRNA from 1 species
UUAAGUAUAUCCUAGUUCUUGAACGAGCUUGAAACCCUCGCGCGCGGACUAGUGACGAACAAAUAUGCUAUGAUAACAGCUCUUAUGAAAAGAAAGGGGUCCUAAAAUUUUCCUCUUGGAAAAAAGAUCAGAUGCCAGUGGCUCCUCUGCUUCUAACCUGAUAAUUCUUUGCAAAAAGUGGAAGCGUCUAAGACCUUCAGCUCCACAAGGGCUGUCAUCGUCACCAUGAAGUUAAUCGUCUCCACAUUACUUGCGCCAUGGUGUUUAAGAUGCAACCCUUGAUGGUUUUUUCCAUCAAACGUCUCGCGUCCAGCCACACAAAAUUGAGUCCAAAGGCAGAACGCCACAUAUGGAUUUGUGAAGACAAAAAUAUAAACGCGGUCGAUCCAUUUUCCACGCCAAAGCACUGGCCGUCGAGUCGACGACAGGUAGGUCUUAUCAUCAGCUAUCAUCUAAAAUUACGUUCCAUCUCAAGCCUUAACACCCGCAUGGUAGGCUGCCCCCAUGCACGUCUGCCUCGAGCUGAAGUCCGAAAUAUACAAGACCAGCGCCUAAGGCUUGGGAUUGCCUGAUGGAGGCUGCUGAUUAAAUUGUUGAUACAGGGCGGCCAUCCAGUUGUAUAAGUCCAUGCCCACAGCAGCAGCAGCAGCAGCAGCAGCAGGAGGAGGAGGCGGAGGAGGCGGAGGCGGCGGCGGCGGCUGCAGGGAAUUACAUAAAUUUGUUAGUAUAAGGUUCUACAUAAGAAUUCUCUCUCAAAAAAGACAUAACAG